UACGGAGGGUGCGAGCGUUGUCCGGAAUCAUUGGGCGUAAAGGGCGCGUAGGUGGCCUGCUAAGCGUGCGGUGAAAGUCGGGGGCUCAACCCCCGAUCGGCCGUGCGAACUGGGAGGCUUGAGCACUGUAGAGGCAGGCGGAAUUCCGGGUGUAGCGGUGGAAUGCGUAGAGAUCCGGAAGAACACCGGUGGCGAAGGCGGCCUGCUGGGCAGUUUUGGCUGACACUGAGGCGCGACAGCGUGGGGAGCAAACAGG
rnacentral:rRNA from 1 species